GACGAACGCUGGCGGCGUGCCUAUACAUGCAAGUAGAACGCUGAAGAAGAGCUUGCUUCUCCGGAUGAGUUGCGAACGGGUGAGUAACGCGUAGGUAACCUGCCUGGUAGCGGGGGAUAACUAUUGGAAACGAUAGCUAAUACCGCAUAAGAGUAGAUGUUGCAUGACAUUUGCUUAAAAGGUGCAAUUGCAUCACUACCAGAUGGACCUGCGUUGUAUUAGCUAGUUGGUGGGGUAACGGCUCACCAAGGCGACGAUACAUAGCCGACCUGAGAGGGUGAUCGGCCACACUGGGACUGAGACACGGCCCAGACUCCUACGGGAGGCAGCAGUAGGGAAUCUUCGGCAAUGGACGGAAGUCUGACCGAGCAACGCCGCGUGAGUGAAGAAGGUUUUCGGAUCGUAAAGCUCUGUUGUAAGAGAAGAACGAGUGUGAGAGUGGAAAGUUCACACUGUGACGGUAUCUUACCAGAAAGGGACGGCUAACUACGUGCCAGCAGCCGCGGUAAUACGUAGGUCCCGAGCGUUGUCCGGAUUUAUUGGGCGUAAAGCGAGCGCAGGCGGUUAGAUAAGUCUGAAGUUAAAGGCUGUGGCUUAACCAUAGUACGCUUUGGAAACUGUUUAACUUGAGUGCAAGAGGGGAGAGUGGAAUCCAUGUGUAGCGGUGAAAUGCGUAGAUAUAUGGAGGAACACCGGUGGCGAAAGCGGCUCUCUGGCUUGUAACUGACGCUGAGGCUCGAAAGCGUGGGGAGCAAACAGG
rnacentral:rRNA from 1 species